rnacentral:rRNA from 1 species
UCGAGGAUCUUCGGCAAUGGGCGCAAGCCUGACCGAGCGACGCCGCGUGCGCGAUGAAGGCCUUCGGGUUGUAAAGCGCUGUCGAGGGGGAGGAAGGUCCGCAAGGGCUUGACCUAUCCCGGGAGGAAGCACGGGCUAAGUUCGUGCCAGCAGCCGCGGUAAGACGAACCGUGCGAACGUUGUUCGGAAUCACUGGGCUUAAAGGGCGCGUAGGCGGGCCUGCUUGUCCGGGGUGAAAGCUUUCGGCUUAACCGGAAAAGUGCCUUGGAAACGGCAGGUCUGGAGGGAGGUAGGGGCAGCCGGAACUUCCGGUGGAGCGGUGAAAUGCGUUGAUAUCGGAAGGAACGCCGGUGGCGAAAGCGGGCUGCUGGACCUCUACUGACGCUGAGGCGCGAAAGCCAGGGGAGCGAACGG